rnacentral:misc_RNA from 1 species
GAUGAAGAACGCAGCGAAAUGCGAUAAGUAGUGUGAAUUGGAGAAUUCAGUGAAUCAUCGAAUCUUUGAACGCACAUUGCGCCCCUCGGUAUUCCGUGGGGCAUGCCUGUUCGAGCGUCAUUUACCCCUCAAGCACUGCUUGGUGUUGGGCGUCUGUCCCGCUUCGCGCGCGGACUCGCCCCAAAGGUAUUGGCAGCGGUCGUGCCAGCUUCUCGCGCAGCACAUUGCGCUUCUCGAGGCGGUCGAUCGGCGUCCACGAAGCUCACCUCCACCGUUUGACAUCGGAUCAGGUAGGGAUACCCGCUGAACUUAAGCAUAUCAAUAAGCGGAGGA